rnacentral:rRNA from 6 species
AAUCAAGUGCCUUAAGGGUGUUCGGUGGAUGCCUUGGCGCUGAGAGGCGAUGAAGGACGUGCUACGCUGCGAUAAGCCGUGGGGAGCUGCGAAGAAGCUUUGAUCCGCGGAUUUCCGAAUGGGGAAACCCACCUUCGAUAGCCGGAACUCCAAGACCUUGUGUGUUGGGGUUCGACCAGAAAUGCGAGAAAUCAAACCGCGAGGUUUUGGAUUUCCGGUUAUCAAGAGAAGGUAUGAGACCUCCGAAUAAAAUAGGAGGUUUUAAGCAAACCCAGGGAACUGAAACAUCUAAGUACCUGGAGGAAAGGACAUCAAUCGAGACUCCGUUAGUAGU